rnacentral:rRNA from 1 species
AUACGGAGGGUGCAAGCGUUAUCGGGAAUCAUUGGGUUUAAAGGGUCCGUAGGCGGAUAAUUAAGUCAGGGGAGAAAUCCCACAGCUCAACUGUGGCACUGCCUUUGAUACUGGUUAUCUUGAGUUAUAGGGAAGUAGAUAGAAUAUGUAGUGUAGCGGUGAAAUGCAUAGAUAUUACAUAGAAUACCGAUUGCGAAGGCAGUCUACUAUCUGUAUACUGACGCUAAGGGACGAAAGCGUGGGGAGCGAACAGGAUUAGAAACCCUAGUAGUCC